rnacentral:rRNA from 1 species
CUAUGCGCCUUGCCAGCCCGCUCAGGUGUGCCAGCCGCCGCGGUAAUACAGAGGUCUCAAGCGUUGUUCGGAAUCACUGGGCGUAAAGCGUGCGUAGGCGGUUUCGUAAGUCGUGUGUGAAAGGCGGGGGCUCAACCCCCGGACUGCACAUGAUACUGCGAGACUAGAGUAAUGGGGGGGAACCGGAAUUCUCGGUGUAGCAGUGAAAUGCGUAGAUAUCGAGAGGAACACUCGUGGCGAAGGCGGGUUCCUGGACAUUAACUGACGCUGAGGCACGAAGGCCAGGGAGCGAAAGGG